rnacentral:tRNA from 1 species
CGGAGUAUAGCAUAUAUAAUGCUUUUUACUUACACUAAUAACAAAACGAAAGUUUAUUCCGCCU